rnacentral:snRNA from 1 species
AUACUUACCUGGCAGGGGAGACACCAUGAUCUGCCAUGAUCACACAGGUGGUUUUCCCAGGGUGAGGCUUAUUCAUUGCACUCCAGAUGUGCUGACCCCUGUGAUGUUCCCAAAUGUGGAAAACUCGACUGCUUAAUUUGUGGUAGUGGGGGACUGCAUCCGUGCUUCUCCCCU